rnacentral:rRNA from 1 species
GUGGGGAAUAUUGGGCAAUGGGGGCAACCCUGACCCAGCAACGCCGAGUGAGGGAAGAAGGUUUUCGGAUUGUAAACCUCUGUCCUAUGGGAAGAAGGAAGUGACGGUACCAUAGGAGGAAGCCCCGGCUAACUACGUGCCAGCAGCCGCGGUAAUACGUAGGGGGCGAGCGUUGUCCGGAAUUACUGGGCGUAAAGGGUGCGCAGGUGGCCUGACAAGUCAGAUGUGAAAUACCGAUGCUUAACGUCGGGGCUGCAUUUGAAACUAUGAGGCUGGAGUGCAGGAGAGGGAAGCGGAAUUCCUAGUGUAGCGGUGAAAUGCGUAGAGAUUUGGAAGAACACCAGUGGCGAAGGCGACUUUCUGGACGAUGUCUGACGCUGAGGCGCGAAAGCUAGGGGAGCGAACGGGAUUAGAAACCCCGGUAGUCC